UACGUAGGGUGCGAGCGUUAAUCGGAAUUACUGGGCGUAAAGCGUGCGCAGGCGGUUCGUUAAGUUCGAUGUGAAAGCCCCGGGCUCAACCUGGGAACUGCAUUGGAAACUGGCGAGCUUGAGUGUGGCAGAGGGGGGUGGAAUUCCGAGUGUAGAGGUGAAAUUCGUAGAUAUUCGGAAGAACACCAGUGGCGAAGGCGACUCACUGGACACA
rnacentral:rRNA from 1 species